AUUGAACGCUUGCGGCAGGCCUAACACAUGCAAGUCGAACGCGUGGCGGACGGGUGAGUAAUGUCUGGGAAACUGCCUGAUGGAGGGGGCUAACUACUGGCAACGGUCGCUAAUACCGCAUACCAUCAGAUGUUCCCAGAUGGGAUUAGCUAGUUGGUGGGGUAACGGCUCACCAAGGCGACGAUCCCUACCUGGGCUGAGAGGAUGACCAGCCACACUGGGAAUGAGACACGGUCCAGACUCCUACGUGAGGCAGCGGUGGGGAAUAUUGCACAAUGGGCGCAAGUCUGAUGCAGCCAUGCCGCGUGUAUGAAGAAGGCCUUCGGGUUGUAAAGUACUUUCAGCGGGGAGGCGUUACCCGCAGAAGAAGCACCGGCUAACUCCGUGCCAGCCGCCGCGGUAAUAC
rnacentral:rRNA from 1 species